ACCCACGCCCCUCCCAGCAGCGUCCCCCAGUUUCCUCACUUGGUAUUGAGGCGGCGGAUCUCGCGAGAACCUCGUGGCUGGCUAGCCGGAGCGAUAGCCCUGCAAUGACUUAAGGGCAGUUGCGUGAGCUCUUCCUGUUGGGGGCCCGCCCCCCGAAUCUACAAGUUCUCGCGAGAUGCAAUAGGCACCGGCUGGAGUAGGGGCGGGCCGUCGUCGGGAAGCACCGCCCCUGGAUGCUUCUGCUGGUGGGAGGGAGGGGAACUGGAAUUCCCCGGACGGGUUGGAGCGCGCGCCGGCGCGUCCGUCCCUCACGCGCCCAAUCAGGAAUGUGCGGCGGGAGGUGCCACGGGCUAAUCACCGGGUACCUUUAGUCCAGGUUGAUCCGGGCCUUCCGAGAUUUCGGUGGAGCAGAAGCCAAGGUUACAAGAGAUAGGAAACAUCCCCCAAAGGGAACUCACAAUAUCCAGGAGGUCCAUAAAGAAAAGUCUCAGAUAAGCCAAUUUGUAUUCCCCUAAUCUAAACAAACUUCAGUAUGAAAGUGUAAUGGAACAUGUUAAUGCUCUUAAUUAACAAAGUAUAACAGACUGGCACAAAUUUGAGGUCAGAGUUCUUCACUUUUUUGUGCCACAGACCACGUUGGCAGUCUGGUAAAGCCAUGGACUCUUCUAAGAGUAAUGUUUUUAAAUGUAUAAAGUAAAAUUCAUAGCAACAA